AUGAACGUUCAUCAUUUAUUUGCAUCUGAUUAUAAUGGACCAAUGAACGUUCAUCGUUUAUUUCCAUAUAUCCUCCUAGUUCUGGUGCUGGUCCCAACCAAAAGCAAGAGAGAUUGUACAGUAUGGUGUCUUCUGUCACUUUGUCAGCUUUGGCUUCCAUGUAUUUUUCAUCAUCAAGUGUCAGAGAAAUUCUGUAUAUCCACAGCACACUACGCAGUGCACACUACACACAGCACACUACGCAGUGCACACUAUGCAGUGCCCACUACUCACAGCACACUACGCAGUGCACACAACACGCAGCACACUACAUGCAGCACACUACGCAGUGCACACUACACACAGCACACUACGCAGUGCACACUACUCACAGCACACUACGCAGUGCACACUACACACAGCACACUACGGAGUGCACACUACUCACAGCACACUACUCACAGCACACUAUGCAGUGCACACUACUCACAGCACACUACGCAGUGCACACUACACACAGCACACUACACGCAGCACACUACACGCAGCACACUACACGCAGCACACUACAUGCAGCACACUACAUGCAGCACACUACACGCAGCACACUACACACAGCACACUACGCAGAGCACACUACGCAGUGCACACUACACACAGCACACUAUGCAGUGCACACUACACACAGCACACUACACACAGCACACUACACGUAGCACACUACAUGCAGCACACUAUGCAGUGCACACUACACACAGCACACUACACACAGCACACUAUGCAGUGCACACUACACAGUGCACACUAUGCAGUGCACACUACACACAGCACACUACACACAGCACACUACGCAGUGCACACUACACACAGCACACUACAUGCAGCACACUACACACAGCACACUACACACAGCACACUUCGCAACGCACACUUCGCAUCGCACACUACACACAGCACACUUCGCACUGCGCAUUUCGCAACGCACUUCGCAACACACUUCGCAAUGCACACUUCGCAUCGCACACUUCGCAUCGCACACUUCGCAUCGCACACUACGCACAGCACACUACGCAUCAGACUGCAAAUCAGGUGAUUCCCAAACCACACCCUACCAACUCACUCUGA
rnacentral:lncRNA from 8 species